rnacentral:rRNA from 1 species
CCUACGGGAGGCAGCAGUGGGGAAUUUUGCGCAAUGCUCGUAAGAGUGACGCAGCGACGCCGCGUGAAUGACGAAGGCCUUCGGGUCGUAAAGUUCUUUCGACAGGGAAGAAAAUGCCUAUAAGUAACUGUGUAUGUAUUGACGGUACCUGUAUAAGCAGCCCCGGCUAACUCCGUGCCAGCAGCCGCGGUAAUACGGAGGGGGCGAGCGUUGUUCGGAGGGACUGGGCGUAAAGAGCACGUAGGCGGUGUUGUAAGUCAUUAGUCAAAGACUAGAGCUCAACUUUAGUAAGGCUAGUGAUACUAUAAUACUAGAGUAUCAGAGAGGAUUGCAGAAUUCCUGGUGUAGCGGUGAAAUGCGUAAAUAUCAGGAGGAAUACCGUUAGCGAAGGCGGCAAUCUGGCUGGAAACUGACGCUGAGGUGCGAAAGCGUGGGUAGCAAACAGGAUUAGAUACCCUAGUAGUC